UUAGGAAUAUUCGUCAAUGGGGGAAACCCUGAACGAGCAAUGCCGCGUGAGUGAUGAAGGCCCUAUGGGUUGUAAAACUCUGUUGUAAAGGAAGAAUACCUAGUAUAGGAAAUGAUGCUAGGAUGACGGUACUUUACCAGAAAGCCCCGGCUAACUACGUGCCAGCAGCCGCGGUAAUACGUAGGGGGCAAGCGUUAUCCGGAUUUAUUGGGCGUAAAGGGUGUGUAGGCGGUUUGUUAAGUCUAAAAUCAAAGCCCGAGGCUUAACCUCGGUUCGUUUUAGAAACUGGCAAACUAGAGUGCAGUAGAGGCAAGUGGAAUUUCUAGUGUAGCGGUUAAAUGCGUAGAUAUUAGAAGGAACACCAGUGGCGAAGGCGGCUUGCUGGGCUGUAACUGACGCUGAGACACGAAAGCGUGGGGAGCAAAUAGG
rnacentral:rRNA from 1 species